rnacentral:rRNA from 1 species
GUCGAACGAGCUUCCGUUGAAUGACGUGCUUGCACUGAUUUCAACAAUGAAGCGAGUGGCGAACUGGUGAGUAACACGUGGGGAAUCUGCCCAGAAGCAGGGGAUAACACUUGGAAACAGGUGCUAAUACCGUAUAACAACAAAAUCCGCAUGGAUUUUGUUUGAAAGGUGGCUUCGGCUAUCACUUCUGGAUGAUCCCGCGGCGUAUUAGUUAGUUGGUGAGGUAAAGGCCCACCAAGACGAUGAUACGUAGCCGACCUGAGAGGGUAAUCGGCCACAUUGGGACUGAGACACGGCCCAAACUCCUACGGGAGGCAGCAGUAGGGAAUCUUCCACAAUGGACGAAAGUCUGAUGGAGCAAUGCCGCGUGAGUGAAGAAGGGUUUCGGCUCGUAAAACUCUGUUGUUAAAGAAGAACACCUUUGAGAGUAACUGUUCAAGGGUUGACGGUAUUUAACCAGAAAGCCACGGCUAACUACGUGCCAGCAGCCGCGGUAAUACGUAGGUGGCAAGCGUUGUCCGGAUUUAUUGGGCGUAAAGCGAGCGCAGGCGGUUUUUUAAGUCUGAUGUGAAAGCCUUCGGCUUAACCGGAGAAGUGCAUCGGAAACUGGGAGACUUGAGUGCAGAAGAGGACAGUGGAACUCCAUGUGUAGCGGUGGAAUGCGUAGAUAUAUGGAAGAACACCAGUGGCGAAGGCGGCUGUCUAGUCUGUAACUGACGCUGAGGCUCGAAAGCAUGGGUAGCGAACAGGAUUAGAUACCCUGGUAGUCCAUGCCGUAAACGAUGAGUGCUAAGUGUUGGAGGGUUUCCGCCCUUCAGUGCUGCAGCUAACGCAUUAAGCACUCCGCCUGGGGAGUACGACCGCAAGGUUGAAACUCAAAGGAAUUGACGGGGGCCCGCACAAGCGGUGGAGCAUGUGGUUUAAUUCGAAGCUACGCGAAGAACCUUACCAGGUCUUGACAUCUUCUGCCAAUCUUAGAGAUAAGACGUUCCCUUCGGGGACAGAAUGACAGGUGGUGCAUGGUUGUCGUCAGCUCGUGUCGUGAGAUGUUGGGUUAAGUCCCGCAACGAGCGCAACCCUUAUUAUCAGUUGCCAGCAUUCAGUUGGG